rnacentral:rRNA from 1 species
UCCUSUGACAACCCUAGAGAUAGGGCUUUCCYUUCGGGGACAGAGUGACAGGUGGUGCAUGGUUGUYGUCAGCUCGUGUYGUGAGAUGUUGGGUUAAGUCCCGCAACGAGCGCAACCCUUGAUYUUAGUUSCCAGCAUUCAGUUGGGCACUCUAAGGUGACUGCCGGUGACAAACCGGAGGAAGGUGGGGAUGACGUCAAAUCAUCAUGCCCCUUAUGACCUGGGCUACACACGUGCUACAAUGGACAGAACAAAGGGYUGCMAGACCGCAAGGUUUAGCYAAUCCCAUAAAUCUGUUCUYAGUYCGGAUCGCAGUCUGCAACUCGA